rnacentral:rRNA from 1 species
AUUGAACGCUGGCGGAAUGCUUUACACAUGCAAGUCGAACGGUAGAGGGGGCAACCCCUCGAGAGUGGCGAACGGGUGAGUAAUAUAUCGGAACGUGCCCAGUCGUGGGGGAUAACGUAGCGAAAGUUACGCUAAUACCGCAUACGAUCUAAGGAUGAAAGCGGGGGAUCGCAAGACCUCGCGCGAUUGGAGCGGCCGAUAUCAGAUUAGGUAGUUGGUGGGGUAAAGGCUGACCAAGCCAACGAUCUGUAGCUGGUCUGAGAGGACGACCAGCCACACUGGAACUGAGACACGGUCCAGACUCCGACGGGAGGCAGCAGUGGGGAAUUUUGGACAAUGGACGAAAGUCUGAUCCAGCCAUUCCGCGUGCAGGAUGAAGGCCCUCGGGUUGUAAACUGCUUUUGUACGGAACGAAAAGGUCUCUCUUAAUACGGGGGGCUCAUGACGGUACCGUAAGAAUAAGCACCGGCUAACUACGUGCCAGCCGCCGCCGUAA